UAAAUGGAAGCCAAAGUAGAGGCGUCUAGCUGUUAAUUAGGAGACUGUAAAUAUAAAUUACCCAUUUAG
rnacentral:tRNA from 1 species